GCCCAAUUGGUCUAGUGGAAUGAUACCUGCUUCGGGCAACACUCGAGGUCCAUUCAUCACCAGAUGAGUAUGCAGGUGGUCCCCGGUUCGAAUCCGGGAUUGGGCC